rnacentral:rRNA from 1 species
AUUGAACGCUGGCGGUAUGCUUAACACAUGCAAGUCGAACGGUAGCAGGCCUUCGGGCGCUGACGAGUGGCGGACGGGUGAGUAACGCGUAGGAAUCUGCCUAUUAGUGGGGGACAACUUGGGGAAACUCAAGCUAAUACCGCAUACGCCCUACGGGGGAAAGGAGGGGAUCUUCGGACCUUUCGCUAAUAGAUGAGCCUGCGUUGGAUUAGCUAGUUGGUAGGGUAAAGGCCUACCAAGGCGACGAUCCAUAGCUGGUCUGAGAGGACGAUCAGCCACACUGGGACUGAGACACGGCCCAGACUCCUACGGGAGGCAG